rnacentral:lncRNA from 10 species
CCCGGCUAAUUUUUGUAUUUUUAGUAGAGACGGGGUUUCACCAUGUUGGUCAGGCUGGUCUCGAACUCCUGACCUCAGGCCCUCGGCGUCCCAAAGUGUUGGGAUUAUAGGCAUGGACCACCACGCCCGGCCUGUUCAAGGUUCUUAAGGUUCAUGACUUGACUGACUGGUCAUUUAUACCCUAUUCUACAUCUAACAAAAAUAUGAUGCAGCUUACAAUAAAAGCUUAUAGAAGACAGCUAAAAUAAAGUCAGAGAGACAUCAGCAGCCAGUGAAAAAGGACUGAUAAUUCUACUAAGAACAGGAAGUAAAACAGUGACCACUUCAACCUUAAAUGUAUUUCUGACCUUCCUGGUAGCCAAGGCAAAGCAAAACAAAACGAAAUGAAAAGUCAAGAUGCUGUCUAUAGCUUUAAUACACUGAAAGAAAUACAGAAAGACAUCCUCAAAAUGCAAACGACUAAGACAAUUGCCCAGGUGCAGUGGCUCACGCUUGUAAUCCCAGCACUCUGGGAGGCCGAGGCGGGCGGAUCAACUGAGGUCAGGAGUUGGAGACCAGCCUGACCAACAUGGUGAAACCCUGUCUCUACUAAAAAUACAAAAUUAGCCAGGAUUGGUGGGACAUGCCUGUAAUCUCAGCUACUCGGGAGGCUGAGGCAGGGGAAUCACUUGAACCCGGGAGGCAGAGGUUGCAGUGAGCCAAGAUCGCACCAUCGCACUCCAGCCUGGGCAACAAGAGUGAAACUCCGUCUCAAGAAGAAAAAAAAGAAAAGACUAAGACGAUCAACUCCCUAGACAGACAGCUCCUUCUGGCUUGGCAGAAGAUGUGCAAAACUGUACUUUCUGUAUCACUAUAUUGACCUCAAAUUAAAGCCAAGGAUAUAACACUACAUUGUAAUUCACUGGAAGUAUUUCAAAUACAGACCAAAGCAGGAAACCUUCUGGUGUUCCCAGUUGCCUGGGACUGAGCUUAGAGAACUCGAGAAAGACAUCAUGGAGGGCAACAUUGCUUAUGGUACUGGAAUCACUAUGCCAUGUAUUGAUGGCCCGCGUCUGCAGACAAUGUCCUUAAUAUGAUUUGAUGUAUGCAAACAUCUGACUAUUUCACCUUGUCUUCUCAUGCAGUUUACAUAUACAAGCAAACGACCACAUGCAACCACCCAGAGCAGCAGUGAUGUUGCUGAAUGGACCACGAGGAAGAGGAAGACUGACAGGUGACAGGAAAGGACAGGACACCUGCCUGGCUGAGACGCCACCGCCAGGCCUGGGAGAAGAGGGGAGUUGUGUGAGGAUUGGAAAGGAGGAGAAGGCAUCUCUAGGGUGAGAGACGGCAGAUGUGACAAUACUGAGGUGGGAAUGUGUCACUCUUCCACUCUCCAGUGAAGUCACGCUGGUUUUCCCUUCCCGUAAACACAUUCUAAAGCACAGGCAUCCCAGUCGUGACCUCCCGAUCCAGUUCUCCUGACUCCUCCAUCCUCAGUUCCCACAGAAUGCUCGCCACUCCCAUACUGACCUCAUUCAAGACCAUUCCCUGACCACAUGCGCUCUGCAUUUCCACGCAUCGGCCCCACUCUUCCUUCUGCCCAAUGAGGCAAGAGAUGGGGACAGUCAUGAGACCAGGGCUGGGGGCUGGCUGUGUGGGUGAGUAGCUGCCUCUGCCACCGACUUGCUGUUGAGCUGAUGAUGGGCAAGUUACUUAAGCCCUCUGGGGCUUCAUGUCCUCAUCUACGAAGUAGACAGGUGCAGCACCCACUUCACGGCGGUGCUAUGAUGACGAAACGUGCUGAUGCAUGUGGAGACCUCUAGAGCACAGUGCUCAGCUCAUAAGUACACUCAGCUAAUGCCGGCUGACAGUCGUGGUACUAACAGUAAGAGCAGCCUCACUCUUACUAUUAGCCCUUCAAGGGCCAGAUCAAGGCUACCCAGUUCAGAAACUUUCUCCUCAUUUACAAUAAAGAUCCAUUGCUCCUUCAAAUUUAACUGCUUUCUAAUUUGUAUAUUUCGAUGGUGACCCUGAUUUCAUUCUGUCUUGAGUGUUUGCCUUCUAGGGACAAUAUCAGAUUUCAGCGAUUCCCCCAUCACCCAGCCAGGAGGCACUUGAUGUUUGGCUUGAAUUGAGAAACCUGAAGAAUAUUGCGACACGGAGAUUUACUCCGAUGUCAAACUUCCUUCCUAGGGCAGGAAGCCCAUAUUCAAGUACAGCAGGAA